AAACUGCCGGGCUCGAGUGGGCGAGAAGUAUGCGGAAUGCGUGGUGUAGCGGUGAAAUGCAUAGAUAUCACGCAGAACCCCGAUUGCGAAGGCAGCAUACCGGCGCCCGACUGACGCUGAGGCACGAAAGUGCGGGGAUCAAACAGGAUUAGAUACCCUGGUAGUCCGCACAGUAAACGAUGAAUGCUAGCUGUCCGGGGGGAUUGACCCCUGGGUGGCACAGCGAAAGCGUUAAGCAUUCCACCUGGGGAGUACGCCGGCAACGGUGAAACUCAAAGGAAUUGACGGGGGCCCGCACAAGCGGAGGAACAUGUGGUUUAAUUCGAUGAUACGCGAGGAACCUUACCCGGGCUCAAACGCAUAAUGACGACAGUUGAAAGAUUGUUUCCCUUCGGGGCAUUAUGCGAGGUGCUGCAUGGUUGUCGUCAGCUCGUGCCGUGAGGUGUCGGCUUAAGUGCCAUAACGAGCGCAACCCCUAUCGACAGUUGCUAACGAGUCGAGUCGAGGACUCUGUCGAGACUGCCGGCGCAAGCUGUGAGGAAGGCGGGGAUGACGUCAAAUCAGCACGGCCCUUACGUCCGGGGCGACACACGUGUUACAAUGGCAGGUACAGCGGGAUGCCACGGGGCGACCCGGCGCUGAACCCGAAAACCUGUCUCAGUUCGGAUUGGAGUCUGCAACCCGACUCCAUGAAGCUGGAUUCGCUAGUAAUCGCGCAUCAGCCACGGCGCGGUGAAUACGUUCCCGGGCCUUGUACACACCGCCCGUCAAGCCAUGGAAGCCGGGGGUACCUGAAGUGCGUGACCGCGAGGAGCGCCCUAAGGUAAAACCGGUGACUGGGGCUAAGUCGUAACAAGGUAGCCGUAA
rnacentral:rRNA from 1 species